rnacentral:rRNA from 1 species
GAUGAACGCUGGCGGCGUGCCCAAUACAUGCAAGUCGAGCGAACGGACGAGAAGCUUGCUUUUCUGAUGUUAGCGGCGGACGGGUGAGUAACACGUGGAUAACCUACCUAUAAGACUGGGAUAACUUCGGGAAACCGGAGCUAAUACCGGAUAAUAUUUUGAACCGCAUGGUUCAAAAGUGAAAGACGGUCUUGCUGUAACUUAUAGAUGGAUCCGCGCUGCAUUAGCAAGUUGGUAAGGUAACGGCUUACCAAGGCAACGAUGCAUAGCCGACAUGAGAGGGUGAUCGGCCACACUGGAACUGAGACACGGUCCAGACUCCUACGGGAGGCAGCAGUAGGGAAUCUUCCGCAAUGGGCGAAAGCCUGACGGAGCAACGCCGCGUGAGUGAUGAAGGUCUUCGGAUCGUAAAACUCUGUUAUUAGGGAAGAACAUAUGUGUAAGUAACUGUGCACAUCUUGACGGUACCUAAUCAGAAAGCCACGGCUAACUACGUG